ACAGCAGUCGCCGCGGUAAUACGAAGGGUGCAAGCGUUACUCGGAAUUACUGGGCGUAAAGCGUGCGUAGGCGGUUUGUUAAGUCUGCUGUGAAAUCCCCGGGCUCAACCUGGGAAUUGCAGUGGAUACUGGCAAGCUAGAGUGUGUCAGAGGAUGGUGGAAUUCCCGGUGUAGCGGUGAAAUGCGUAGAGAUCGGGAGGAACAUCAGUGGCGAAGGCGGCCAUCUGGGACAACACUGACGCUGAGGCACGAAAGCGUGGGGAGCAAACAGGAUUAGAGACCCGCGUAGUCCCUGUCUCUUAUAC
rnacentral:rRNA from 1 species